rnacentral:rRNA from 1 species
CACGUAGGGGGCGAGCGUUGUCCGGAAUCAUUGGGCGUAAAGAGCUCGUAGGCGGCUCAGUAAGUCGGGCGUGAAAGCCCCCGGCUCAACUGGGGAGGGUCACUUGAUACUGAUCGACUGGAAGGCAGGAGAGGGAAGCGGAAUUCCCGGUGUAGUGGUGAAAUGCGUAGAUAUCGGGAGGAACACCAGUGGCGAAGGCGGCUUCCUGGCCUGUUCUUGACGCUGAGGCGCGAAAGCUAGGGGAGCAAACGAG